rnacentral:rRNA from 1 species
GACGUAGGGCGCGAGCGUUGUCCGGAUUUAUUGGGCGUAAAGAGCUCGUAGGCGGCUUGUCGCGUCGUCUGUGAAAUCCCGCGGCUCAACUGCGGGCUGGCAGUCGAUACGGGCAGGCUGGAGUUCGGUAGGGGAGACUGGAAUUCCUGGUGUAGCGGUGAAAUGACGCAGAUAUCAGGAGGAACACCGGUGGCGAAGGCGGGUCUCUGGGCCGAUACUGACGCUGAGGAGCGAAAGCGUGGGGAGCGAACAGG